CGUGUAGGUGGCCAUGUAGGUCCGCUGUGAAAACUCGAGGCUCAACCUCGAGCUGUCGGUGGAAACCACAUGGCUAGAGUCCGGAAGAGGAGAGUGGAAUUCCUGGUGUAGCGGUGAAAUGCGCAGAUAUCAGGAAGAACACCAAUGGCGAAGGCAGCUCUCUGGGACGGUACUGACACUGAGACGCGAAAGCGUGGGGAGCGAACA
rnacentral:rRNA from 1 species